UACGGAGGGGGCGAGCGUUGUCCGAAUUUACUGGGCGUAAAGAGCGCGUAGGCGGGUGGCUAAGUCUGCUGUGAAAGCCCGGAGCUUAACUCCGGCGGGCCAGUGGAUACUGGUCAUCUUGAAGUCGCUAGGGGAAGAUGGAAUAACCGGUGUAGCGGUGAAAUGCGUAGAUAUCGGUUGGAACACCAGUGGCGAAGGCGGUCUUCUGGGGCGAUCUUGACGCUGAGGCGCGAAAGCUGGGGGAGCAAACGGG
rnacentral:rRNA from 1 species